CCGGCGCGCACUCCUGCCUCCUUCCCUUCCGCUGCUGAGGAGGCGGGAGCCGUGUCUGCACCGACCAAGCUGAGGUCUUGGGCAGGAGUCGGCUGGCGAAGUAGAAACUCCGGUAGCGGGGCGGCAGCGGGGGUCAAUCAGGCUGCGACGGUGUUGCCGGGGCUCCGCUGAGCCCGGCCGCUCCUGGCACCGGGAGCCUGCGGUGUGAGGUGGCCGGAGGAGGCAGCAAGUGAAGCUGUGAGAUUAAGGCUUCCAGGGCAAAACCUCGGGCACCUCCAUAAUCUCGGGCUCCAGCCGCCGUUACUAGCCCACCAUCAAGCCGACCCCAACUACUUGUGCAGCAUGCUUGGCCGCCUCAGGAUCGUCCAAGUGAGAGAAGUCCAAAGAGUUAUCACCCUGUCUUUGGAGUACAAUUCUGAAGUCCAUCAACAGUGCACCCUCAGGAUUUCAGACAGUGGACUGAAGACUGGGAGAAACAGUUUUCCCAACUGACCAACACAGCAUAGUAUCCAGAAUGUUCCUUUCUCAACCAAAUUAUAAAAAAAUAUACAGAAGUAGAAAAGUAUCCCCAAUCAGAGGAGAAAAAUCAUUUCAUAGAAAAUAUUACAGAUGGUGUACUGUCUCUGGAAUUACUUAUCAAAGAUCUUAGAGCACCCUUCAUAAAUAGAAUCAAUGAGUUAAAGGAAAAGAAGUACAAAAACUAAAGGAAAUUGGGAAAAUAUACAAAUGAAAUAAAAAUUUCAUUCUUAAGAUAAAAAUUACAAAGAAGAGCCAAACGGAAAUUUGGGAAUUCAAAUGUUCAAUAAGUAAAGUGAAUAAUUGAAUAGCAGAUUGAAUUGAAAUUUAAGACACAUUGGAGGAGGUAGAAGAAAGAAUCAUGGAAAUGAAAAACCAAAAAUUGAAAUUGUACAGCUAAGGAACAGAAGAAAAAAGAAUGAAAAAAAGAAAAAAAAGCUGAACAGAUCAUAAAGACCCUGUGGAACAAAGUCAAGUACAUAAAUAUAUAAAUAAUAGGAGUCUCAAAGGGCCGAAAGAGAUAAAUGGCCAGAAAAAAUAUUUAAAGACACAAUGGCAGAAAAAUUCUCAAAUCUGAUGGAAGGCAUGAAUACACAAAUCCAAGCAAAAUAAAGUCAAAGUAAUCUACAUCAAGAUGCUUUGUGAUUAAUCUAAACAAUGCCAAGGACAAAAUAGUAUUUUGAGAUUUCCAUAUAGCACAGUGUAAGCAAAAUCCAGUUCAUAGUAAAUGUCUAUUACUGCAAAGUUCCAUUUUUACCUCCAGGGUUUACUGGAAUCUGUUUGAUUUGCCAUAAACCUGUGGCAACUUUCUCCAGGUAAUCUGCCCCUUAGCCACCUGCUUUUUCUCUAUUGUUGGCAGAUAGAACAGGUCAUCUUGCCUUUGGGUUCUUCAGAAAAUACAGAAAGAUUAUUAAUAAAUUAAGUUCAUUUUUGCAUACUGCAGCCCCCCAAAGUUCACUCAUUUCUUGGACUCAGUGGACAAAUCAAGUGAGCAUACUGAUAUAAUCUAUUCAUGGAUUCCAAUCACAUUCCAAUCCUGGAAGAUUGUUCUUCUGAUUGGCCUUGAAAUCUCUGACUUUAAUGGAUGUCUCAAAUUCCCAUGGUGAUUCCCAAGAUGUAAUGCCUCAUAUAGGUGUGUAUAAAGUUAUAAGAUAUUAGGUGUGAUUAUAGCAACCCAAAUACACUUGGAAAAGUGAAAGUCAGACAUUUUUAUUAAAUAUAGCUCC
rnacentral:lncRNA from 1 species